rnacentral:pre_miRNA from 1 species
GCAGCUCGCCGGAUCUAGCGGCAGAGCUCGAGCUCUCGAUCCGGGCGAGCUCGAGCUCUGUCGCCAGAUCCGGCGCGCUCG